CCUACGGGUGGCAGCAGUGGGGAAUAUUGGACAAUGGGCGAAAGCCUGAUCCAGCCAUGCCGCGUGUGUGAAGAAGGCCUUCGGGUUGUAAAGCACUUUCAGUGGGGAAGAAAGCCUUGGGGCUAAUACCCUCGAGGAAGGACAUCACCCACAGAAGAAGCACCGGCUAACUCCGUGCCAGCAGCCGCGGUAAUACGGAGGGUGCGAGCGUUAAUCGGAAUUACUGGGCGUAAAGCGCGCGUAGGCGGUCUGAUAAGCCGGUUGUGAAAGCCCCGGGCUCAACCUGGGAACGGCAUCCGGAACUGUCAGGAUAGAGUGCAGGAGAGGAAGGUAGAAUUCCCGGUGUAGCGGUGAAAUGCGUAGAGAGCGGGAGGAAUACCAGUGGCGAAGGCGGCCUUCUGGACUGACACUGACGCUGAGGUGCGAAAGCGUGGGUAGCAAACAGGAUUAGAUACCCGAGUAGUC
rnacentral:rRNA from 1 species